rnacentral:rRNA from 1 species
UACGGAGGAUCCAAGCGUUAUCCGGAAUCAUUGGGUUUAAAGGGUCCGUAGGCGGUUUGGUAAGUCAGUGGUGAAAGCCCAUCGCUCAACGGUGGAACGGCCAUUGAUACUGCCAGACUUGAAUUAUUAGGAAGUAACUAGAAUAUGUAGUGUAGCGGUGAAAUGCUUAGAGAUUACAUGGAAUACCAAUUGCGAAGGCAGGUUACUACUAAUGGAAUUGACGCUGAUGGACGAAAGCGUGGGUAGCGAACAGG